UUGGUAUUAUGUGCGUUGCUGUUGGCGACUAUCGUCUUGGUGAUUGUUAUAUUAGUGUACAGAAGGCGGAAACUGUGUGUCGAAGAUUCUUCACCAGAGCCCAAAAUAAGUUUUGGUGCAUUGGAGAAGCCUUUAACAGGUCGUGCGGUAGAAAUACAACCAGAGUUAGGCAAUCUGGAACCUCGCCUUGAUCAAAGAGCCUAUCUCAUGCAAUAUGGUCAGCUCCCACCAAGGCGCUAUGUUUCAAUGGAGUCACAGAGACGCCUUAUACCGGUACCGGAAGAAGAUGGUGACGCAGAACUGACGUCACCAGACGGCGGUCAGUACAUCCUCGACCAGUCAGAACUUGAGUUGGGGGCAGGAGUGCAGGAUUGGGUACAUGCUUACGGGUCAGUUGUUACGCAUGAAAACCACAAGUAGCGAUUGGAUUUAAUGCAGCAAAAAUAUUUGUAGCUGUAAAAAUUUAACGAAUUUUAGAAACUUGUCGGUGCUCUUAUACA